rnacentral:misc_RNA from 1 species
UCUCCGUUGGUGAACCAGCGGAGGGAUCAUUACCGAGUUUACAACUCCCAAACCCAAUGUGAACCAUACCAAACUGUUGCCUCGGCGGGGUCACGCCCCGGGUGCGUCGCAGCCCCGGAACCAGGCGCCCGCCGGAGGGACCAACCAAACUCUUUCUGUAGUCCCCUCGCGGACGUUAUUUUUACAGCUCUGAGCAAAAAUUCAAAAUGAAUCAAAACUUUCAGCAACGGAUCUCUUGGUUCUG